rnacentral:tRNA from 1 species
AAAAAUAUAGGUUAAUUAAAGACCGUUAGUUUUCAAAACUAAUAGUACCUUAUAGGUUAUUUUUG